AUUGAACGCUGGCGGCAUGCCUUACACAUGCAAGCCGAACGGUAACAGGUCUUUCGGGAUGCUGACGAGUGGCGAACGGGUGAGUAAUACAUCGGAACGUGCCUAGUAGUGGGGGGUAACUACUCGAAAGAGUGGCUAAUACCGCAUGAGAUCUAUGGAUGAAAGCAGGGGACCUUCGGGCCUUGUGCUACUAGAGCGGCCGAUGGCAGAUUAGGUAGUUGGUGGGAUAAAAGCUUACCAAGCCUACGAUCUGUAGCUGGUCUGAGAGGACGAUCAGCCACACUGGGACUGAGACACGGCCCAGACUCCUACGGGAGGCAGCAGUGGGGAAUUUUGGACAAUGGGCGCAAGCCUGAUCCAGCAAUGCCGCGUGCAGGAUGAAGGCCUUCGGGUUGUAAACUGCUUUUGUACGGAACGAAAAGUCUUGGGUUAAUACCCUGGGAUCAUGACGGUACCGUAAGAAUAAGCACCGGCUAACUACGUGCCAGCAGCCGCCGUAAUAC
rnacentral:rRNA from 1 species